rnacentral:rRNA from 1 species
GACGAACGCUGGCGGCGUGCUUAACACAUGCAAGUCGAACGGAAAGGCCUCUUUCGGGGGGUACUCGAGUGGCGAACGGGUGAGUAACACGUGAGUAACCUGCCCUUGACUUUGGGAUAACUUCAGGAAACUGGGGCUAAUACCGGAAAGGAGCUCCUGCGGCAGGGGGGGGGUUGGAAGGUUUCGGCGGUUGGGGAUGGACUCGCGGCUUAUCAGCUUGUUGGUGGGGUAGUGGCUUACCAAGGCUUUGACGGGUAGCCGGCCUGAGAGGGUGACCGGCCACAUUGGGACUGAGAUACGGCCCAGACUCCUACGGGAGGCAGCAGUGGGGAAUAUUGCACAAUGGGUGGAAGCCUGAUGCAGCAACGCCGUGUGCGGGAUGACGGCCUUCGGGUUGUAAACCGCUUUCGCUCAUGACGAAGCUUUGUGUGACGGUAGUGGGUAAAGAAGCACCGGCUAACUACGUG